UGAUGAAUAAUAGUGCAAUCCUCCUUUGGCAAUGAAUUAAGCUAUUAUAUGCAAACCCUAUAAUUUUGCAUGACAAUAUUAAUAUCUUUGCCAAAGGAGAAUUGCCCUGCCAUUCUUCU
rfam:Nicotiana sylvestris Nsyl_contig176293, whole genome shotgun sequence.